CCUACGGGAGGCAGCAGUGAGGAAUAUUGGUCAAUGGACGAGAGUCUGAACCAGCCAAGUAGCGUGAAGGAUGACUGCCCUAUGGGUUGUAAACUUCUUUUAUCUGGGAAUAAACUGUUCCACGUGUGGGCUUUUGUAUGUACCAUAUGAAUAAGGAUCGGCUAACCCCGUGCCAGCCGCCGCGGUAAUACGGUGGAUCCGAGCGUUAUCCGGAAUUAUUGGGUUUAAAGGGAGCGUAGGUGGAUUGUUAAGUCAGUUGUGAAAGUUUGCGGCUCAACCGUAAAAUUGCAGUUGAAACUGGCAGUCUAGAGUACAGUAGGGGUGGGCGGAAUUCGUGGUGUAGCGGUGAAAUGCUUAGAGAUGACGAAGAACUCCGAUUGCGAAGGCAGUUCACUGGACUGCAACUGACACUGAGGCUCGAAAGUGUGGGUAUCAAACAGGAUUAGAUACCCUGGUAGUC
rnacentral:rRNA from 1 species